rnacentral:rRNA from 1 species
GCUAAUCUGAGCAGGGUAAGCCGACCCCUAAGGCGAGGCCGAAAGGCGUAGUCGAUGGGAACCAGGUUAAUAUUCCUGGGCCAGGAGGAUGUGACGGAUCUCGAAGGUUGUUCCCUCUUAUCGGAUUGAGGGGGCUGCUUAGAGGUUCCUGGAAAUAGCCCUCCAUGAGAUCGUACCCUAAACCGACACAGGUGGGCAGGUAGAG